rfam:Cyberlindnera jadinii strain CBS1600 genome assembly, contig: CJ4
AUCUCUUUGCCUUUUGGCUUAGAUCAAGUGUAGUAUCUGUUCUUUUCAGUGUAACAACUGGAAUGUCCUCACUGAGGACUUCUUAUUUCGUUACUCUUAUUUUUGGACUAUGGCUUCAACGGUUUUUCAUACGGGCUUGCUCGUUGGCUGUGAGGCAUGGUGUCGUUGCCAUUGCACUUGCUUUGGGCUUCUGACGCAAAUCUUU